AGGCACGUACGAAUCUUGGCUGUGCGAUAAACAGAAGCUGAGCUUCAGAGAAUUUAUGACAUGAUGAUAAAUGAUGCGGAAUCUAGAGAUCAAAGAUGAGGUGCCCCUGCCUUCACAGAACCCACAGGGAAAUCUGCCAGAGUUAAAGGUAAGAAAAGGGAAUCUGGGAUCCAGAAUAGGGUUGAAGUGAUCUUGCAUUCCUCCUGUGAUGUCUAUUCUGCCUUCUGUCUCUGCCAAGCAACAGAAUAAAGACCAAGCUUCUACCCAUAGCAGAUGAAGAAUCAGACAACAUUUAAGAAACUGAGACCACAAGCCUUUACCUCACCUCACCCUUCCUGUCAGAGUUGAUUUUAGUUGGGAUUUGGUUUUGGAUGAAAAUUUAAAUAAAUUUCUUAGACAUGCCCAUCUUUUCAUUUGGCAGGCAAGAUGGACUAGAAUUGGGGUGGUCAUAAUCAUGUUUGUGGAUGUGGCACAAAGCAGUGACA